AUUGAACGCUGGCGGCAGGCCUAAUACAUGCAAGUAGAGCGGAGCGGCGGACGGGUGAGUAAUGCCUAGGAAUCUGCCUGGUAGUGGGGGAUAACGUCCGGAAACGGGCGCUAAUACCGCAUACUAUCAGAUGAGCCUAGGUCGGAGUAGCUAGUUUGUGGGGUAAAGGCCUACCAAGGUGAAGAUCCUCAACUGGUCUGAGAGGAGGAUCAGUCACACUGGAACUGAGACACGGGCCAGACUCCUACGGGAGGCAGCAGUGGGGAAUAUUGGACAAUGGGCGAAAGCCUGAUCCAGCCAUGCCGCGUGUGUGAAGAAGGUCUUCGGAUUGUAAAGCACUUUAAGUUGGGAGGCGUUACCAACAGAAUAAGCACCGGCUAACUUCGUGCCAGCAGCCGCGGUAAUUC
rnacentral:rRNA from 1 species